GUCUCUCCAUCUCUAGUAGGAAUAAAAAGGCAGCGAAUUUGUGCAAUUUAAUUAUUAAUUUUAAACAUCUCUACACCUUUUGUAGAUUUCAACUUUUUAUACGCGUUUUUUAUACGAAUCGACUAGUGUUUUGCAGCCGAUAGCCCAGUGCGCGCAUAUUAAUAAUCAACAUUACGUAUCGCGGUAGGGGCCAAGAGCAAAAGCAAUCAAAAAGCAGAGCAAAGAAAGUUCUAAAAAUAUUUUGAUCGUCGUCGUCGUGAAAGUCGCAUAUUUAAUUUCGCGCAACAAAUAAAGCUUUAAAUUAAAAAAGAUCCAACAAUAAUAAAUUGCAAAAAUGGUAUUGAAAGUGUACGUCAGCGGCAUGUCCGGCAACAAGGAGGUGAAGAAACGCCAACAGCGCGUGCUCAUGAUCCUGGACAGCAAGUGCAUUCAAUACGACACCGUUGACAUCACAGAGCCAGGAAAGGAGAGCGAAAAGGAGCUGAUGCAAAAUAAAUCCACAAGCAAUGGCGGCACCGUCAGCGAUCCAGAGCCCCGGCACCCAUUGCCACCGCAGAUCUUCAACGAUGAGGAAUACUGUGGUGACUACGAUGCCUUCGAUAUGGCCAACGAGAUUGACACGCUGGAGGUGUUCCUCAAGUUGGCGCCAGCCGACACAACGGCCGUGAGCAGCGCUCAAAUCGAACUGAAGCAGGAGAAUGGCGAUGCUAAGGAGGGCGAGAAGGAAAAGGAGGAAGAAAAAGAGGCUGGUGGUGAUGGUGAAGAGAAGGCUCCAGCGGAAGGCGAGGCGGAGGUGGAGAAGGCAGAGGGCGAAGACGAAGCUAGCGAAGAUAAGGAGAAAACCGAGAGUGCUGAAGGUGAAGACGCGGAGAAAAAAGAAGAGGGUAGUGAAGAAAAGACUGAAACGGAAGCCACCGAAGAAGGUAAAGAAGAAUCCGAGUCCAAAGAGGACAGUGCCGAGUCUACAGACAAAGCAGAUGAUGAAAAGAAGGCCGAAAAGGAAGGCGAUGGCGCGGAUGCUGAAGAAGGUAAAACAGAAGAGGCUAGCGUAGAUGAAGAUGGUAAAAAAACUGAAGAUGAUUUAGAGGAGAAGCCAAAGGACGCCGAAGAAAAGUCAGAGGAUUCCGAAGAAAAGGUAAAAGAAUCGACAGAUGAAGAAAAGACCGAAGAAAAUGAGAAAACUGAUGAAAAAUCAGACGAAAAGGAAGAAUCUGAAGAAGAGGAAGAAGCCGAUGAAGAAGAAGAGGCCGACGCAGAAAAGAAAGAAGAGACUGCGGAGAAAACGGAAGAACAAGUGGCAGAAGCGGAAGAGAAAACUGCAGAAGCAUCAGAAGAUGCGGCAGAAGAAACGAAAGAUGAAAAGAAAACGGAGGUAGAAUCAACCGAAGAAAGCAAGAAUGAGGAGACCGCAGCAACAGAAGAAGUCGACGAAUCAAAGAGUGAUGAAGAGAAGAAUGAGGAAGAAACAAAAGAAACUGAAGAGAAGAAAGAAACAGAAGCUGAGGAAAGAAAGGAAGAAGAAACAAAGGAAGCCGACGAAGAGAAAGAAGAAUCAAAAGAAACUGUAGACGAGAAGCAAGACGAGGAAGUCAAGACAGAUGCUGAAGAAGAUAAGAAAGAAGAAGAAACCAAAGAGACGAAUGAAGAGAAGAACGACGAUGAAAAGGUCGAUGAAACAGCUCCAAAGGAAGAAGCUGGUAAAACGGAAGCGAAAGAAGACGCAGCGGAAUCUUCUGCUGAGGAAGAAGAAAGUGAAGAAGAGUAAACUAUAAACUGCCAACAAACCCAACGAAUAAACGACGAAACCCUGAACCCCGAACUCUCCACACCCCACUCAUAAACUGAACCGCACCUGUAGUUGCAUCAUCCUCAAACACACACACAUUGAAGCAAACUCGCACACACUCACACAAACUACUAGCACAUAAUGACCAAGAAUUGUAAAUAAAAUGCAAAAAGAAAAGAAUUUACUAAUCAUAAUACAGCUGGUGGAGGUUAACAACAGAAGAAUUGACAGCUGUUCUUCCAGCGUCUGCGAAGAAUUCUUCCUCGGACUCGGCAUCGGCCCAACUCUUGGACACGGAACGCGCAGCGACCUCACAGUAGACUUAUG